UGUCGCAAUAGAUGACUGGUGACA
rnacentral:siRNA from 1 species